CGCCUAACACAUGCAAGUCGAACGAAGUAGCAAUACUUAGUGGCAGACGGGUGAGUAACAUGUAGGUAUCUACCCUUUGGCCUGGAAUAACACGAGGAAACUUGUGCUAAUACCGGAUAAGUCUUUACGGAGAAAGCUUUAUGCACCAUUGGAUGAGCCUGCACUUGAUUAGUUUGUUGGUAGGGUAAUGGCCUACCAAGACUUUGAUCAAUAGCUGAUUUGAGAGGAUGAUCAGCCACAUUGGGACUGAGACACGGCCCAAACUCCUACGGGAGGCAGCAGUGGGGAAUCUUGCACAAUGGAGGAAACUCUGAUGCAGCGAUGCCGCGUGAGUGAAGAAGGCCUUUGGGUUGUAAAGCUCUUUCGUCGGGGAAGAAAAUGACUGUACCCGAAUAAGAAGGUCCGGCUAACUUCGUGCCAGCAGCCGCGGUAAUACGAAGGGACCUAGCGUAGUUCGGAAUUACUGGGCUUAAAGAGUUCGUAGGUGGUUGAAAAAGUUGGUGGUGAAAUCCCAGAGCUUAACUCUGGAACUGCCAUCAAAACUUUUCAGCUAGAGUAUGAUAGAGGAAAGCAGAAUUUCUAGUGUAGAGGUGAAAUUCGUAGAUAUUAGAAAGAAUACCAAUUGCGAAGGCAGCUUUCUGGAUCAUUACUGACACUGAGGAACGAAAGCAUGGGUAGCGAAGAGGAUUAGAUACCCUCGUAGUCCAUGCCGUAAACGAUGUGUGUUAGACGUUGGAAAUUUAUUUUCAGUGUCGCAGCGAAAGCAAUAAACACACCGCCUGGGGAGUACGACCGCAAGGUUAAAACUCAAAUGAAUUGACGGGGACCCGCACAAGUAGUGGAGCAUGUGGUUUAAUUCGAAGAUACGCGCAGAACCUUACCAACACUUGACAUGUUCGUCGCGACUUUAAGAGAUUAAAGUUUUCGGUUCGGCCGGACGAAACACAGGUGCUGCAUGGCUGUCGUCAGCUCGUGUCGUGAGAUGUUGGGUUAAGUCCCGCAACGAGCGCAACCCUCACUUUUAGUUGCCAUCAUUAAGUUGGGCACUCUGAAAGAACUGCCAGUGAUAAGCUGGAGGAAGGUGGGGAUGACGUCAAGUCCUCAUGGCCCUUAUGUGUUGGGCUACACACGUGCUACAAUGGUACUUACAAUGGGAAGCAAAGACGCAAGUCCUAGCCAAUCCCUAAAAUGUACCUCAGUUCGGAUUGUACUCUGUAACUCGAGUGCAUGAAGCUGGAAUUGCUAGUAAUCGCGGAUCAGCGCGCCGCGGUGAAUACGUUCCCGGGUCUUGUACACACCGCCCGUCACACCAUGGAAGUUGGUUACACCUUAAGGCAAAGCUAAUACCUUGACUACGGUACG
rnacentral:rRNA from 1 species